rnacentral:rRNA from 1 species
ACCUCUAGCAUUACUAGUAUUAGAGGCCUUGCCUGCCCAGUGACAUCUGCUUAAACGGCCGCGGUAUCCUGACCGUGCAAAGGUAGCAUAAUCACUUGUUCCUUAAAUAGGGACUUGUAUGAAUGGCUCGACGAGGGUUAUACUGUCUCUUACUUUUAAUCAGUGAAAUUGACCUCCCCGUGAAGAGGCGGGGCUGCAUAAAUAAGACGAGAAGACCCUAUGGAGCUUAAAAUAACUAGUCUGCGCAUUCCCUCUAACAACCCCUCGGGCCUAAACAACAUGCAUACAGACUAAAAUUUUCGGUUGGGGUGACCUCGGAGUACAACUUAACCUCCGAAUGGCAAUGAUCUAGACACACCUGUCUAAAUUUUAAUCCAUAAAUUGACCCAAUUCAAUUGAUCAACGGAACAAGUUACCCUAGGGAUAACAGCGCAAUCCUACUCAAGAGUUCAUAUCGACAGUUAGGGUUUACGACCUCGAUGUUGGAUCAGGACACCCAAAUGGUGCAGCAGCUAUUAAU